UGGGGGAAUAUUGCACAAUGGGCGAAAGCCUGAUGCAGCGACGCCGCGUGAAGGAUGAAGUAUUUCGGUAUGUAAACUUCUAUCAGCAGGGAAGAAAAUGACGGUACCUGACUAAGAAGCCCCGGCUAACUACGUGCC
rnacentral:rRNA from 1 species